GAGAACGGAUUGCGCACGAGGGACGGUGGUGGAAGUUACCUAAGAACUGCUUCUGCAAGUCUGAAUGUUGUAUCAGAUCAUAAGUAAAACCAAUUUAUUUCUUUUAAAGAGCAGGGAAUGAAUCGCUUUCACCUGUUCGCGAUUUUGAUUUGGCUGUUAAUUGCGGACAGCCAAGCAAUAAUCAGGAUUCCUCUGCACAAGAUGCGCACUGUGCGCCGCAUGCUGGCAGAGAAUGGGAGGACUAUUGACGAGAUCAAAUCCAUGGCCAGAGAGAAAACCUCCAAAGUCAGAUUUUCAUUGCCGUCCACAACACAUUCACCGUCACCAACAAAACUGCCACCACCUAUUGAGAAACUCACCAACUUCAUGGAUGCUCAGUAUUUUGGAGUGAUCAGUAUUGGCACCCCUCCUCAGGACUUCACUGUGCUGUUUGACACCGGAUCGUCCAACCUCUGGGUUCCAUCUAUCCAUUGCUUCUUCUUGGACAUUGCAUGCUGGUUGCACCAUCGCUACAACUCUAAGAAGUCAAGCACGUAUGUUCAGAAUGGCACGGAGUUCUCGAUCCGCUACGGCAGUGGGAGUCUCUCUGGCUUCAUCAGUCAGGAUACAGUCACUUUAGCAGGGCUGAAGGUGCCAAACCAGCAGUUUGCCGAGGCGGUUAAACAGCCUGGGAUUGUGUUUGCGGUGGCACGUUUUGAUGGCAUUCUGGGCAUGGCAUACCCCGCCAUUUCUGUAGAUGGGGUUACGCCGGUGUUUGACACAGCCAUGGCUGCCAAAAUCCUGCCUCAGAAUAUCUUCUCUUUUUAUAUCAACCGGGACCCCGUGGGUGAAGUUGGAGGUGAGCUGAUGCUGGGAGGUUUUGACCAGCAGUAUUUUGACGGUGAUCUGCAUUACGUCAAUGUCACACGAAAAGCCUACUGGCAGAUAAAGAUGGAUGAAGUUCAGGUGGGUGGCACGCUUACCCUCUGCAAAAAUGGAUGCCAGGCAAUUGUUGACACGGGAACAUCAAUGAUCACGGGGCCGGUUCAAGAGGUGCGGGCGCUUCAGAAAGCCAUCGGAGCCAUACCACUGCUCAUGGGAGAGUACUGGAUUGACUGUAAGAGGAUUCCAUCACUUCCUGUUGUUUCCAUGAGCCUGGGAGGGAAGAUGUUCAACUUAACUGGAGAGGACUAUGUUCUGAAGAUGACUCACAUGGGUGUGAGUGUUUGUCUGUCUGGCUUUAUGGCAAUGGAUAUCCCACCCCCCGCCGGGCCGCUGUGGAUUCUGGGAGAUGUGUUCAUUGGCCGCUACUACACUGUGUUUGACAGGGAGGCAGACCGUGUGGGCUUUGCUCCUGCUAAAUGAAAAGAGUGAUAAAAAUCACAUUGUAUUGUACUGGACCUAAUGGGCCAUUAGCAGCACAGAAACCACUGGUUGAAGUUGCAGUUGAUUUGAUUGGUUGACUGCAUCUCUAGCCCUACAGAAACAAGACAUUGCACAAAGACCCGAGGCACAGAACAAAUUAUACAAAUUGCUGUUUAAUAAAAAUACAAAAUCACCAGGAAAUGAAGAAACGAGUACACAAGCAUCACAUGCAAAGUACUAGGCCAAGCUGAACUGCACUGCUUUUGGAUUCAGUGCUGCCUUUUCACAUCAUUCGCCAGGUAAAUGUGUUUCUGCUACAUCACACUGGUAGAGACACGUGUUCUGGUUACGCAAGCAAAAUAAAUGCUUCAAUACAUAAACGCAAGAUCUCCUGCGAGUUUUGGCAUUUCAUAUCGGAGACGAAGCCUAUUGUAUAUUUUGUUCUAGCAAACGUCACUCUCCAAGCACAAAGAAUGAUCAUAAGAUACACAAAGAGUUUCACACUGGUUUUUGGUUACAUCUGUACAAUCAAUACAAAAAUACUAAAAUAUGUCUAUGAAGUCUGUUUUUUUAGGCUCUUGUACAUCAUUUCAGUUCCCCUUCCUUAUAACCCACAGCCUCAAAAAAGUAAACCGUGUUUUUGAAUGAUUCUAUAGCUUUAAGGAGGUCUGCAACGGUUUCCUUGGUUUAUUAGGCAGCUGUAAUACAAUAAAAAUCACAUCUGCUCUUAGUUUAGCCAUUCUAAAGAUGUGUUUUGAUUAUUAAUUCAGGUAUUUAUCUUCAUCUGGUUUCAGCAGUGUGGUAAUAACUCGUGUCGACCAUUUAAAUAACAUCAUAUCCAUUCAACAUUUCUGAGUUGCUUUUACAGGAUAAUGUAACUGAAAAUAAGCAAUUAGGUAAAAUAGGUCAUUUGCAUAUUUUAAUGUCACAAACUGACAAGAAAGAUGGAAAUAUGGGGGAGAAACAUGAUC